GUUUGGGUAGGGAGGAAUGGGGAACUCGAGUGGGUCAGGGGGUCUAAGGACGAGGGCAGGCUGCAAUGUCUGUGGAGAAAGCGCUUCCGUUCCAGUUUUCACACCCGAGUCAGAAAGUACGGAGUAAGCAGCUUAAGGAGCCGCGGGGACGCAAUAAGGCCCGGAUACCCCGCGCCCGUAUUCUUCGGGGGGACCAAAGGAAAUCGCCACCGAAGUCACACUGCAAGAAGGCGCAAGUGAGAGAGAAAGAGAAGGUGUGGGUACCCUGGAAUGGACUCAUCGUGAUUGGGAAGAGAGUGGAACUCUUGGACAGAAACGUGCAAAAGUCUAACCCAAAGUUGGAAUCUGAGGACUGGAAGCUGGAGGGCACCGGGAAGAAGUUCUCAAGAGAGAAAUCGGGCCUGCAACAGGAGACGUUGGUCGCGAAGCUCCUGAGCAGUGUAAGAAGGGAGAUGCAGGCUCGAGCAGGUUUGGAGUAUGACAGCCCAGAGAUUUGGAGAGAGUUGGAGAAUAGACUCAAAGCUGGUGUAACUACGAGUUCAGAGAUGACUGCAGAGCGUGGGGAAAACUUGAAAUCUAGGGAUAGGUUGAGGCCCACUGGAGGGGACUUGAGGUCCAGAGGGGAUCAGCUGAGGCCGAAUGAGGAACUGGAGUCUAGUGGAGAGAACUUGAAAAAACGGGUACCCAUUGGAGACAAGGUGGUAGGCAGGGGAGAGAAGCGGAGGUCUUCUGCUGAAAAAAUGGACAGUAGGGAGAGGCGGGGGUCUGUUGUAGAGAAAAUGGACAGUAGAGAGAGGCGGGGGUCCAUCAGAGAGAAGACGUUGGACAGUGAAGAGAAGCGGGGAUCCAUUAGAGAGAAGGCGACAGAGAGUAGACAGAGGCGGGAGUCCAUCAGAGAGAAGGUGUCAGACAGUGGAGAGAGGCGAGGAUCCAUCAGAGACAAGAUUUCGGACACUAGAGAGAGGCGGGGGUCCAUCAAAGAGAAGGUGUCAGACAGUGGAGAGAGGCGGGGAUCCAUCAGAGAGAAGGUGUCAGACAGUGGAGAGAGGCGGGGGUCCAUCAGAGAGAAGGCAAAGUUGAGUAAAGAGAAAUUUAGAUCCAGUGGAGAGAAGCUGAGAACCGGUGAUAAAAAUUCAAGAUCCACUGAAGAUCUACUGGAGUCAAAUAUUGAAGAGUCGGAGUCGGCUGAGGUGAAGCUGAAAGAGCACUCAAGAACAGGAAGUGCCACGGAAGAGACUAUUGAAGGAGUGGUCAGUGUUACUGAUGGCGAAGGUGUGAUGGAAAAUCUGAGUCAGGAAAUUCCUUCUGAAAGUGUAGAAGGGAUGGAUGGCCACGGAGGAGCCGAGACAGAGGCAGAAACUGAUAGUCAUGUCUUGGAGGGAAUGAGAGAGAUUGCUGAUGCAUCUGCUCCUGAGGAAGAGGAAGACAUACUUGGAGAAAGCCCCAAGGAGUCAGGUGGAUGAAAAAUUGAAAGUGAAAAAGGAGAUUGGAGUAUCUCAAGUAAAGGAGAAGCUGGAGCCAAGGAUUUUGUUUGUCUUGAAAGAGUGAAUAUGAAUGAGGAGUGUGGACCUCAAGGGAGCAUGGGAAAGGAGCAUGGGAGCCCCUGGGCAUGGAGGCCAAGCCAGCAGUGGACGUGAAGAAUGGCAAAGAGGACAAUGGAAACAUUUUAAGGAGAAAGAAACAACGUGGGGGCGAAUGCUAAGAAGGACACUGUUUCCUGCUUGAAGAACAGUUUGAGAAAUGGGUCAAGGGUGGCUGGAUUUUGACAGACGUGUACAUGGUCAGGGGUAGGAGAUGUAGGAGAAGGUCAGACACAGAUUAUAGCAGGAUAAAAGUUUGGCACUGAGGGCCGUGGGAGAAGCAGCAAAGAAGGAAAUGACGGAAGCAGGGAGAAACCAGGGGAGAAGAGAACUGGAGUAAAAGGUGAAGGAAAUGAGAAGCCAUGCCACAGCUUGCCUCAGUGCUUAGGCCCAUGUCUACCUGACACCAUCAUUUGAAGAUUCCUCUGGUGAGUCUGUGAGCUGAGGUGUUGUCAUCUCUUUACAAGACACCUUCCUAGGCACAGGGCGAAGACUUAGCAUUUGCCCUUGUGUGGGAAAUGCCCUGCACUUCAGGAAGUAUGGAUUCUGAUGAAUUGCCAGGUUUCUGUUCCUUGGCUGCAUGACUCACCUGAGAUAUCAGAUGUAUUCCACCAGAACCCAGCCAGACACCAGAGAAGAGCAAGCUACCAUGCCAAAUGCCAAAUGCUACCCGCCACCCGCCACCCCCGCCACCCGCCUCCCGCCUCGUAAAUGCAGAGGCGUGGGAUUGCCUAGAUAGCUAGAAGGUUGGUUUGUUGAGUUUAUUGUUUCACUAUGUAGCUCAGGCUGUCCUGGAACUCACAUGUAGACCAGGCUGGUUCUGAACUCACAGAGAUCCAUCCCCUUGCUUCUGCCUCCAACAUGCUGAAUUAAAAAGUGUACAUUCUCCACCCAA